UCUUGGUCAUUUAGAGGAAGUAAAAGUCGUAACAAGGUUUCCGUAGGUGAACCUGCGGAAGGAUCAUUACCGAGUGAGGGCCCUCUGGGUCCAACCUCCCACCCGUGUUUAUUUUACCUUGUUGCUUCGGCGGGCCCGCCUUAACUGGCCGCCGGGGGGCUUACGCCCCCGGGCCCGCGCCCGCCGAAGACACCCUCGAACUCUGUCUGAAGAUUGUAGUCUGAGUGAAAAUAUAAAUUAUUUAAAACUUUCAACAACGGAUCUCUUGGUUCCGGCAUCGAUGAAGAACGCAGCGAAAUGCGAUACGUAAUGUGAAUUGCAAAUUCAGUGAAUCAUCGAGUCUUUGAACGCACAUUGCGCCCCCUGGUAUUCCGGGGGGCAUGCCUGUCCGAGCGUCAUUGCUGCCCUCAAGCACGGCUUGUGUGUUGGGCCCCGUCCUCCGAUCCCGGGGGACGGGCCCGAAAGGCAGCGGCGGCACCGCGUCCGGUCCUCGAGCGUAUGGGGCUUUGUCACCCGCUCUGUAGGCCCGGCCGGCGCUUGCCGAUCAACCCAAAUUUUUAUCCAGGUUGACCUCGGAUCAGGUAGGGAUACCCGCUGAACUUAAGCAUAUCAAUAAGCGGAGGA
rnacentral:rRNA from 1 species